AGAGUUUGAUCAUGGCUCAGAAUCAACGCUGGCGGCGUGCCUAACACAUGCAAGUCGCACGAGAAAGGGGAGCAAUCCCUGAGUAAAGUGGCGCACGGGUGAGUAACACGUGAAUGAUCUACCUCCGAGUGGGGAAUAACUGAGAGAAAUCUUAGCUAAUACCGCAUAACACUUACGAGUCAAAGCAGCAAUGCGCUUGGAGAGGAGUUCGCGGCCGAUUAGUUAGUUGGCGGGGUAAUGGCCCACCAAGACGAUGAUCGGUAUCCGGCCUGAGAGGGCGCACGGACACACUGGAACCGAAACACGGUCCAGACUCCUACGGGAGGCAGCAGUGGGGAAUUUUGCGCAAUGGGGGAAACCCUGACGCAGCAACGCCGCGUGGAGGAUGAAAUAUCUUGGUAUGUAAACUCCUUUCGAUGGGGAAGAUUAUGACGGUACCCAUAGAAGAAGCCCCGGCUAACUUCGUGCCAGCAGCCGCGGUAAUACGAGGGGGGCAAGCGUUGUUCGGAUUUAUUGGGCGUAAAGGGUGCGUAGGCGGUUUGGCAAGUCUGAUGUGAAAUCUAUGGGCUCAACCCAUAGUCUGCAUCAGAAACUGCCGGGCUUGAGUAUGGGAGAGGUGAGUGGAAUUUCCGGUGUAGCGGUGAAAUGCGUAGAUAUCGGAAGGAACACCUGUGGCGAAAGCGGCUCACUGGACCAUAACUGACGCUGAUGCACGAAAGCUAGGGGAGCAAACAGGAUUAGAUACCCNNGUAGUCC
rnacentral:rRNA from 1 species